GGUUUGGUAUUGAGUGAUACUCUGUUAAACUGGGUUAAACUUGAAAAUAGUGUGGCAAGAGCUGCUUUGCGCAGGUCUUCUCUGAAACUAACGUUUCUAGGUUCUACCAAUUCGUUAUGGGCAGUGGAGGGCGCGUCUGGCGUUUGGGCUCGGCCUAACAACACCUUCUUAAAGUUUGACCUCAAAUCAGGUAGGAUUACCCGCUGAACUUAAGCAUAUCAAUAAGCGGAGGAAAAGAAACCAACAGGGAUUGCCUCAGUAACGGCGAGUGAAGCGGCAAAAGCUCAAAUUUGAAAUCUGGUACCUUCGGUGCCCGAGUUGUAAUUUGAAGGUAGUUUUCUGGUGCUGGUCCUUGUCUAUGUUCCUUGGAACAGGACGUCAUAGAGGGUGAGAAUCCCGUCUGAUGGGGAAUCCAGUGCUAUGUAGAUUUCUACCGACGAGUCGAGUUGUUUGGGAAUGCAGCUCUAAGUGGGUGGUAAAUUCCAUCUAAAGCUAAAUAUUGGCGAGAGACCGAUAGCGAACAAGUACAGUGAUGGAAAGAUGAAAAGAACUUUGAAAAGAGAGUGAAAAAGUACGUGAAAUUGUUGAAAGGGAAGGAUAUUGGAUCAGACUUGGUGUUUUGUGAUUAUCUUCCCCUUGUGGGUUGUGCACUCGCAUUUCACUGGGCCAGCAUCGGUUCGGAUGGCAAGAUAAUGGCGCAGGAACGUGGCACUCUUCGGGGUGUGUUAUAGCCUGUGUUGAUGUUGCCUAUCUGGACCGAGGACUG
rnacentral:sRNA from 1 species